CUCCUACUGAGGGGAAUAUUCAUAUGUUCCACUGCAGAUUUUGGGUUUGAUUACAGGGAUCUGCCUUAGUCCCACUGGGAAUGUUACUUUAUACUCCAUCGGCAGCGAAUUACUUCAGAUCCAAGGAAGAGCUGAAUUCUGAAAGGUAUUGGGCCUAAAGGGUUUCAGAUGGAGGAUUACAGACCUCCGCAACCAUAUAUGACCACUUUUUUUCAGAAUGUGUAAGAAAAGCAUUUGAAUAGUAAUUGAUAAUAUUUGGAAGUCAGGGGAAACAUUUAAGAGAAAAUGGAUAGAGAAAUCACACAAAUACCAAUAAUACUUAUGUUUGCCUGUCCCACUAAUUUUACCAAACAUUUAUAUCACAAACAUCUCUUUUGUUUGUGGCUGGAGAGGGGGAGUUUUGUUCUCUCGUAAGCUCUGUGAGGUCAGAGACGAGGGUGAUUGUUUCCACUGCUGUAUCCUCGAUCUAUAACCAAGCUUGAUAAAUAGUAGACACUCAAUAAAUAUUUUCAGAAUGCAAUUAUUAAGCCAGUUGAGGAGCCUGGGGAAUCAGAUUUUAGCUGACCCACCCAAGUUGCGAGCUUAGUGGACUGGAACUUGGGUCUUCCCAUCCCUACUCCAAUAUUUUUUCUCCCUAUACAGUUGCUGCCUUGCUAAAAUGAAGAGAAAUUGAAGCCCUUUGUGAGGUCAUCAAAGGGAUUAGAACAUAGAGGAGGAAAGGGGAUGCACGGGGUCUUUGCUUCAGUUGGACAAAGAAGCCAGUCCUGUAGACUACACCUCCAAAUGGAUCCUGUGUGUGUUCACUUCUCUGCCCACGCGGCUCCCAUCCAGACCACUGCGGCAGCUUCUGAGCUGGUCUAUGUGCUACGUGUUCUCCGCAUGCAGGCAGCCACUCUCUUAAAAGACGGAAGCUGUCUUAGGAUGUGUGCCCCAGCAGCAGACCCUGAGAUGAGGAUUUGUGUGAAGGGUCAUCAUAUGAAUGAUCAACAUAUUGACGGAAACACUCAAGCCUGGAUGAAUUGAAGGCCACAGCCAGGCAGCAAGACUGGUCAGCUUGAAUUUGAGUCAAUAGCGUAAAUAUAUAUUUGCUACAGAAUCGAAGCCAACUGCAUAUUCAUUAUUCUGAAAACCCCACUAAAUAAACAGCUACAAAGUAUACCCUGGAAGAUACCC
rnacentral:lncRNA from 1 species